rnacentral:lncRNA from 1 species
GCGGCCGCCGAGCUCUCCCCGCCCGGCCCAGCCCCUCCGCCGCAGCCGCGGGGCAGCCCCGAGCCACGGCCCCGGCUGGCGGGCGGGCUGCGGGCAGGAUCCUGGCGCUCGGGCUCUGGCAAGGGGAAAGGACAGAAACGGCGCAUCGGGAGGGACCCUGCCUCACCGCUUGUAUAUGGCAAAGUUUCUCGCCGAGCUCCUGGGCUGCACGUUGCCGAGCAAGGGCGCCUCUCCCAUGUUUGAGUCUAAAAGUCAUUCCCGAGUUGGCCUGAAAUCAAGCACCAAGCAAAAGACCACCAUUUUCAGCACAUUGGCCAGUGAGAAGUCCUUAUCUGACUGCAAAAAGGAACAGCAAUGGAAACCUUCCAUGUACAGCAGCAUAACUCCAGUUUGCUUUCCAAGCCCUCUGAUUGAGAAGCCAAUAGGCAAAGUAAGAAUGAACCUACUUUUAUCAGACACUAUGAUUCGAGCC